AAAAAAUAUGCAUCUAAAAAUUAUUGUUUUCCCCUUUGCCCUCUUUGGUAUUCCCAGUAUUCCCCCACCAGGGAACAGACUCCCUACCUGGCUGCUCAGGCGAACUGACGCGAUGACGCAUCCGCGGCAGCAGCUGAGCCGGAAAGUUCGCGGCCACUCGGGAUACAUGAACCUGCUUCAUGGAGACGUGUGGAGGACGAGAGGAAGAAAGGAGAGAGACUGGAGGAAAAUAAGACGAAGAACUGGAGUUUGUUGUGAGUUAUGAGAGGAAAUCAACGCCACCUGUUGAUGAGCAAUCAGCGAAAGCGACAAGCGAACAGCGUCUCGAACAACAAAGAUAGAGACUCCGUUUGUACAGAGGACUGCUGUUGACAGGCUCUGUGGUAACUAUGAAGAGUCUUCAGUUUGAAGGCUGACAACAUGUGGCGGAGGACUGCAGUUGACAUGCUCUGUGGUAACUAUGGAAGAGUCUUCAGAGUUCAGUCUCUAUCUGGGAGAAACAACAAUGUCGGAAUGAAUUGCAGUGACAGUGAAAUACAACAGAAAACCAAAUCCAACCUCAAAAUGAAGGAAACUGCUGGACCUUCAGAUCCCACCGCUCCAGAGCCCCGGACUCUCACACACACGCUGCUGUAACCGUCCUCCACUGUGAUGCUGUGAUCAGCCAAGAACCCCAGGAGGAGGAGAACUGCUCUUGACACGCACUGCUGGAACUAUGGAAGAGUCUUCAGGGUGUGCUCCAGUCAGCGUUUUACACAACAACACUUCAAUGGUUCCAGUCGACGCUUCGAGAGAGACUCCUGCGUCGUCCAGCCGGAUGCCAGUUGGGACCGCCAGCGGACCAGUUGGCAUUUUCCACAAAGACUUACUUCUUUGUGGAAAAUGCCAACUGGUGGGAAGGAGGGAGGAGAGGCGCUCUCUUUGUGUUGGCAGUGUUAAUGUUGAAUAAAAUUAUUUUAAAAUCCAUAA